GGCCCCUCAGCCACUUGCCCUCUUCGCCGUCUCUCCAGCUUGUUCUCCUGGCCGGCAAUCAAGGCAGCAGACAAGCUGCAAAGAGCUCCUUUUCUCCCGCCUCUCAGCUGAUCGGCGGGUGGGCGGGGCUUCCACGGAGGCCUCCGUGUAGGCCUCUGUGAAGCCUGAACUCCAGUAGGGCCCAAGCCAGCCAGGAAGGAGGCAGCCAGAGAGGCCUCCACUGUUCUCUGCAGCAGAAGACCCCCUGCUGCCAGGCUUUUGCCCCAGCCCCCAGCUGCAAUCUGAAGACUGAAGAAAGAGAAGGAGAUUGAAGAAGAAAGAGUAGACUCAGAAACUAGACCACAGAAGUGGACAACUGGACACACAACAUGGGUGAAGCCCUAGACUGAGUGAGUAUCCAUUUUCUCUCUCUCAAACACACACCCCUAUGGAAUUGUGUAUACUUGGGACUUUUUUCCUAUUUGGAGGGAGGUUUGGGGUUGCAAUUGAAUUUAAAAAGAUGUGUGUUGUUUAGUUUAGAAGAGGUUUAAACAGGGGUUCUGUCUGUGGGAGGGAUCUCCAUUAGCUAGUACUAGUAGGUGGUUAGAAGGGUAGUGUAGCCUCAUGGUUUUAAAAAACAAUUCUGCCUUUCCCCCCAUUCCCUAUAUAUAUCUAUAUCUAUAUCUAUAUCUAUAUCUAUAUCUAUAUCUAUAUCUAUAUCUAUAUAUACACACACACACACACACACAGAGAGAGAGAGAGAGAGAGAGAAACCUGUCCUCCAGCCCUCUGUGCCUAUAAUAUAUCAGUAUGAAUAUUCUCUGCCCAGCAGCCUACGGGCUCUGAGUGGGCAGGAAGGCACAGACUCUAGCCUCCUCCCUGCACCCAUUUACCCCCCCCACACACACACACCCCAACUGCAGCAUUCUGAGGCCAUGGCAAAAAUUAGAGUGGAUUCAUUGUUUGUCAUUGAAAAUGAAUCCAUUCUCAUUUGCUACCAGAGAAUCUACCUCAGAAACAACAAAACCUAGUACCCCAUGGGCUUGUGGGUAUGGGGGUGGUUGGCACCCUAUGUGCACAACACCACCACUCACUCUGGGCCACCUCAGUGCCCCGGAAGUGGAGUUAUGGGGCUGCUGAAAUCCCCAUUAUUCCCUAUGGGGAAAGAGCUUAAAGACACACAAACUUUACAAAUUAUUUAAAAUUUUCACCAAUUCCUUUCACCCUUUCACCAAUUCCUUUGAAAUCUGGAUGGUAGCAUGCACUCACUGGGGCACUACCACCUGACCCACUCUUCUGCCCCCAAAACCCCAUUUCUGCCCCGAAUCAUCCCCCAAAGUUAUGCCAACUACAAAACUCCUUUAAAAAACAGCCCUUUGCCAAAUUCCUUUGAAAUCUGGGUGGUAGCUUCCUUGCACCCAUUGGGCAUUACCACCCAACACAACCUGCUAUGGGCCACCCUGGUGCCACUGCCCUGGGGGAAUUAUAAUUAAGGCUGCUGAAAUUCCCAUUAUUCCCUAUGGAAAAAAGCUUAAAGACACGUAAACUUCAAAAGUCAUUUAAAAUUCAGCCCUUUGCCCAAUUCAUUUAAAAUAUGGGUGGUAGCUUCCUUGCACCCAUUGGGCACUACCACCCACCACACCCCACUCUGAGCCACCCUGGUGCCCCCCACAUGGAGCUAUAGGGUUGUUUAAACCCCCAUUAUUCCCUAUGGGGAAAUCUUAAAGAUGUGUAAACUUAAAAAUAUAUAUAUCAUUCCUUUGCCCAAUUUCUUUUAAAUUUGGGUGGUAGCUUCCACCCAUUGGGCACUACCCCCUCUCUUUUGGCCCCAGGACCCUUUUUUGAUCCAAAUCAGAUUUGUAUUCAAUACAUAUCAAAUCUGGGGUGAUUCAGGGGUGUCAGAUUUGGACCCAAAACAAAUUGGGGUUGUUUCGAUUUGGGUACAAAUGGAAACAAAAUUGAUUCAUGCACAUCCCUAUUUGCCUGUGGGCUUUAAGUUAUGUACAGUUCUCAGGCUCAAGCAUCCUCCUCCAAAUGACAUGUACUGUAGCUUAUAACCUUAACCUUCAAUGUGAAGGGAGAUCUGUCUGUAUAAACAUGCCUAUGCAAAUAAGUUGUUUGUUUUGUAUUAGGGUACAGUAAAUUAGAUAUUUUACCUCAGAGAAAAUAUAGACCAGUUAAACCUGAUAAAACUCUCAAAUUGGGACAAUAUUAUAGUUUCUGCAUACAAUUUGUCAUAAUAUCUAUUCCGUCUAGUUUUGUGUUUUGUUUUGUUUUUUACUACAGGAAAAAUGUUCUUUGAUUUAGGAGUAGCAAUAUUACUGAAGUGCUCUUUCCCCUUUUGUUUUUUAUGUUUUCCUGUCACCACAUUGACCGACUACUAAAAGGCAAAUAAUAGUACUGUGUAGACCUUAGAGUAAGGGAUUCAUAGGAAUGUUCAAACAACUUCUGAAAGCCAGGAAACUAAGUGAAACCACCUGGAUAGCAAUGCAAACUGUGCUCUAUUAAUACCAAACUACUUACUGUGGACUCCCUGCUGAAAUCAUAUGAGGACCGGUGACUGAGAUAAUAUGUAUGAUGUGCUUUCUUCUUGUUGUUAUAACGGUUGUUGCUGAUAUUACCAUCCGCAUCAUCUGAAAAUCACCAUUAACGCAGGCUCUGAGCAGACAGAGCAUGGCAGAGGCAAUCCUAGCUUGUAUCAGAUAACUGAGGGGGGAAAUGCAUUCCUGUGCAAUGGCAACCACUCCAAAAAAAACUCAGCAUGAUAAUAACUUGCAGAUAUUGGAGUAGUUAUGAACCAAGCUCAUGGGAGGAAUUCCAUCACCAAUUGUGUUUUCCCAGUCCUACGCAACGGAUUUCCAUGGAAAAUCUGCCGGGUGAAAAAAAAGGAGCAACCUUCGGGACUUUGGGGUAAAUCUAGCCGAUAUGUGAAUGCACCCCCUCCAUUCCAGAGAAGAUGUGAGUUUCCAAAAGCCCUGUGUGAAAAGCUUCCAGGAGGGUUGUCUUCAUCAGAAGAGAGACAGACAGGGUGAAUACUUUCCUGUUCAUCUGGUUGGAUUCAGCAUCAGCUUGCAGUACAGUAGACUGCUUUAUUCUUUUGGAUCACCUUGUACAUCUAGUGAGUGUCUUGAAGAGCAUGUUUUGUUAUGCGUUUUUGUUUGUUUGAAAGGACUCACACCAAGGUUAUGUCAGCCUCCUGGAGGCUACUGCAGUUCUCUGGGAUUUGUUGUUAUCACCAGUGUUGCUCAAUAUCUGUAUAAAGCUUCCAAUCACCAGUAUGUUUGGGGCAGGGUGUCAUUAGGGUGUCAGGACUGGGGAGACUCAGGUUCAAAUCCCCAUUCAGCCAUGAGACUUGCUGAAUGACUCUGGGCCAGUCACUUCUCUCUCAGCCUAACCUACUUCACAGGGUUGUUGUGAGGAGAAACCUAAGUAUGUAGUACACCACUCUGGGCUCCUUGGAGGAAGAGCAGGAUAUAAAAUGUAAAAAUAAAUAAAUAAAUAAAUAAAUAAAUAAAUAAAGGGCUGGCCCGUAGCGCAUGGGCCCCCAGUGAAUUGCUCAGAGCACUGGAUGUCAUCAGCCAGCUCCCCACUCCAUGACCUUCCAGAAUGGAAGUGCAGCAGUGGCAGCACCUGCACACAGCAUGGGAGAGAGCUCCUAGUAGCCUUACCUAGGUCUUUGCUGCUUCUACCUUCAUAGAUGCUGCAUUCUAAUAUUAGAGAUGUUUAAAAGAAUAUGUAAUUAUUUUUGUGGAUGGGUGCAAUUGAGUUUAAUGAUCAAAAGUGGGGCUGUGGGCCCGGCCCUGGAUCUUUUAAGCACCUAGCAAUAUCCCUGGUUUGGGGUUCAGUGUCAUCAAUAUUCAGAUGCCAUCCAGGUCUGUUUGUCUUUAGCUAAGCAUCCAGCAGCAUCUAUUUCUGUCCUGAGCCAGUAUUUGGAAAUUGUGAUCAAUGGAUAAGGGAGGACAGAUCAAAGCUGAAUUCAGACAAGAUGGAAGUGAUGACAGUAGGGAACAGCCAUACCCUGAAAGAGAUACAUCUGCCUUAUCUGAUCAGGAGCACUUUUUAAAAUCUACAGUUAGUACAGCUGUUCUGUCCCCUCAAGGACAGGUCACACCCUGCUUUGUGGUUCAUGGUUCUGUAAUGUCCAAGCUUGCUUCUGGUAAUGUGCUUUAUAUGAAGAUUACCUUGAAGAUGUCAUGGGAGCUUCAUCUGAUGCAGAACACUGCUGCUUCUCUCCUAACAGCUACUGAAAAGGAUUCCCAUCCUGUGCACCUCUCCCCAUAUUUAACUGCAACCAGAAGCGCUCUUAAGUCCAGGGCCUCCACAGCCCCUGGGGGGCCCCAUAUACUCUUUCGUCUGUCCCGGGUAUUGUGGUUGGCUGGUGGAGCAUGAUGAUACUUAAUUUGUAGGGGAGGGGGCCCCUCCAAAAGCCUUUAGGUCCAGACUUCAAAAUUACCUAGGUGUACCUCUGCCUGCAACUGAGGUCAUCUAAAUUAAUUGCCAACUGAGGUUAGGCAACUAGUUUUGCUGGCCCUUGUGGCACUUUCCUGGGAAGGUCAAAAGAAGAGCUAUCACUUUAUUGAAUUUUGGGAGGUGUUCUAAAACCAACCCUUUCCAUCAGGUUUUUGGCUGACCUGUGCCUUUUCUGUGAUGGCUUAUGAAUACAAAUAUGAUAAGUAUCCAUAUACCGCUUUUCAACAAAAGUUCCCAAAGCAUUUUACAUAGAUAUAAAUUUAAAAAAUAAAUAAAAUGGCUGCCUGUCUCCAAAGGGCUCACAAUCUAAAAAAGAAACACGACAGACACCAGCAACGGCCACUGGAGGGAUCCUGUGCUGGGGUUGGAUAGGGCCAGUUACUCUCCCCCUGCUAAAUAAAGAGAAUCACCACUUUUAAAAGGUGCCUUUUUGCUAGUUAGUUCUCUUGCUGUGUUUAUGGUUGUGUUUUAUUAUUUUAGUCUUAAUGUUGUUAAGACAUUAAUGCUUUGAAUUUCCUCUACGAGUGGUAUGAAAGUGCUUUUAAAAUAAAUAAAGAAGCCCUCAAGAACAUAUUUGAAACAGUCCCUAUGUACUUUUUCCAGUUUUGUGAGAACAGUAACGACUCAUAAUAUAAUCAGAUCAAGGGAAUUACUUGAUAGAUGAAUCUUCAUUCUAAUUAGGCUAUUCUCAGAGUUUCCAAGCACUGGUUCUGGGCAAGCAUUCCUUGACAGAGGAAGGGCAAAAACACUUGUACAAUAUACUUAUUCACAAGCCUCUGCCAUCUGGAUAUAUAGGUUCAAAUCAGGUCACAGAUGGGCUGAAUGAACGUUAGUAUUCAGUGCCUCUUUCUGGUCUCCCAUAUACUUUCAGGAUAGCACCAGUGACCUACAAAGAUACGAUCCUCCAGUUCACUUGUGUCUGAUUGUGAUAGUGGUUUUCCAGAAAGGAAUGCUCACCCUCAGCAGGGACAGGGCAUUUAAAUUCUGCUCAGUGCCAUGCCAUUCAAGCCCUUCUUCUGACAGUGAUUGCACCGCCACCAUCAUAAAAGCCCCGAAACAAAUCAAUCUCAUGUAAGUACAAUUUCUAGUUGGAGGGAGAUGCUGAGGGGCACCGUUUUGCUUGCUGUUACUCAGGAAAGGGAAGGGAACAUGAUGCCUUCCUAAGAAGGCAAAAUAUCCUGGGGCCUGGCCCAUUGUGACCAAGGAUGCUCUUGUGGUGCGAAGGAUGCCAUGGCAAAGCAGUCCAUGGAUACCAAACCACACUCUUGCACUCUCAUGAGAGGGCCAGUCUACUGGGGAGGACCUUAGGCUUGCCAGCCAUUGGGCUUCCAUCAGACUGUGUGCUCAU